AGAGUAUGAUAGAGGAAAGCAGAAUUUCUAGUGUAGAGGUGAAAUUCGUAGAUAUUAGAAAGAAUACCAAUUGCGAAGGCAGCUUUUCUGGAUCAUUACUGACACUGAGGAACGAAAGCAUGGGUAGCGAAGAGGAUUAGAUACCCUCGUAGUCCAUGCCGUAAACGAUGUGUGUUAGACGUUGGAAAUUUAUUUUCAGUGUCGCAGCGAAAGCGAUAAACACACCGCCUGGGGAGUACGACCGCAAGGUUAAAACUCAAAUGAAUUGACGGGGACCCGCACAAGUAGUGGAGCAUGUGGUUUAAUUCGAAGAUACGCGCAGAACCUUACCAACACUUGACAUGUUCGUCGCGACUCUAAGAGAUUAGAGUCUUCGGUUCGGCCGGACGAAACACAGGUGCUGCAUGGCUGUCGUCAGCUCGUGUCGUGAGAUGGUGGG
rnacentral:rRNA from 1 species